rnacentral:rRNA from 1 species
ACGCACGCUGGCGGCGUGCUUAACACAUGCAAGUCGAACGGAAAGGCCCUGCUUUUGUGGGGUGCUCGAGUGGCGAACGGGUGAGUAACACGUGAGUAACCUGCCCUUGACUUUGGGAUAACUUCAGGAAACUGGGGCUAAUACCGGAUAGGAGCUCCUGCUGCAUGGUGGGGGUUGGAAAGUUUCGGCGGUUGGGGAUGGACUCGCGGCUUAUCAGCUUGUUGGUGGGGUAGUGGCUUACCAAGGCUUUGACGGGUAGCCGGCCUGAGAGGGUGACCGGCCACAUUGGGACUGAGAUACGGCCCAGACUCCUACGGGAGGCAGCAGUGGGGAAUAUUGCACAAUGGGCGGAAGCCUGAUGCAGCAACGCCGCGUGCGGGAUGACGGCCUUCGGGUUGUAAACCGCUUUCGCCUGUGGCGAAGCGUGAGUGACGGUAAUGGGUAAAGAAGCACCGGCUAACUACGUG